AUGUGUCAUUCAUAUAUCUCAAUGAAACAGAACAGAAGAUAACAAAAAAAACAGCAGAAAAUCACAAAAGUAAACAGAAAAAAAAUAAAAGUCAAGAGAAGAAAACAAAAAUAAAAAGAAACUCAACAGAAAACAACAGAAGACAUCAAAAGUCAACAGAAGACCAAAAAAAAUACACAGAAAACUUUUAAAGAUAUCAGAUGUCAACAGAAGACAACAAAAGACAUCAGAAGACAACAAAACUCAACAGAAGACAACAGAAGUCAACGGAACUCAACAAAGGUCAACGGAAGACAACAAUAGACAUCAACAGACAACAAAAGUCAACAGAAAACAACAAAAGUCAACAGAUGACAGAAAAAAAAAACAAAAAGAGAACUUUGAAACAUUUCAGAUGUCAACAGAAGACUACAAAAGGCAGAAAUCAACAGAAGACUACGAAAUAUAUCAGAAGUCAACAGAAGACAACAAAAGUAAACAGAAGACAAGACACCAAAAGACAACAGAAGGCAAAAAAUGACAGAAGAUUACAAAUGACAGCAGAAGUCAACAAAAGUCAACAGAGUUAAAAAGCGAUUGAUUUAUGAUUCAUCUACGAAUGUUGUACUUGUAAUUUCAUUGAAACUAUAUCCUGUUAAUUUACACUGUAUAUCAGGACAAGGAGGAAAUUUGCGGUUCCCUGCCACGCGGAACGAAAGCGAAAUUGACUUCAUUGAAAAAACGUUGAAAACCUGAUUCCCUCCUUCUUCGAUCACCCGGAGCAGGCCGGUUUUCAAAGUCUACUACGGUGGACCCUGGAGGUCAGACGGUGGAGGCCGGAAGAAAGGGCAUCCAAGUUACGUACGGACAACACGUUUUAUUUUUCGCUUGUUCCCCUCCUCGACCAGGGUUUUGCAGCUGGCCGGGAGUUCCAACCAGGUCUUUUGUGCUCUCUAUUGCAAGUUUCUACUCGAACCUCGAGUCAAAAGGCUUUAAUGUGGAAAGCAACCCAAUCCACCCCAGGACUCGAACUGACGAUUUUUGGAUUGCAAGUCCAACCGCCGAACAGCAACUCCACUGGAGCAGGCUUUGUUUGAUGUGUUGACGACUCCUACACCUGGAACUUAACGGUCUAUCAGCCACUAAGGCCGGGACCGAGUUUUACUUCCAGGUCCCAUGGAAGACUGGAGAAGAUGGGAAUCGAACCCAUGAUCAUCCGCUUACUAAGCGAACAGCGUAACAAUUCAGCCACGCCUGAUCCACUGAAUGAUCCACUGAAAAUAACACGAUCAAUAAGAAAUGAAAAAAAAAAACAAAUUUCUAAACAAAAUAAUAAUAAAAAUGGAA